GAUGAACGCUGGCGGCGUGCCUAAUACAUGCAAGUCGAGCGAACGGACGAGAAGCUUGCUUCUCUGAUGUUAGCGGCGGACGGGUGAGUAACACGUGGAUAACCUACCUAUAAGACUGGGAUAACUUCGGGAAACCGGAGCUAAUACCGGAUGAUAUUUUGAACCGCAUGGUUCAAAAGUGAAAGACGGUCUUGCUGUCACUUAUAGAUGGAUCCGCGCUGCAUUAGCUAGUUGGUAAGGUAACGGCUUACCAAGGCAACGAUGCAUAGCCGACCUGAGAGGGUGAUCGGCCACACUGGAACUGAGACACGGUCCAGACUCCUACGGGAGGCAGCAGUAGGGAAGCUUCCGCAAUGGGCGAAAGCCUGACGGAGCAACGCCGCGUGAGUGAUGAAGGUCUUCGGAUCGUAAAACUCUGUUAUUAGGGAAGAACAUAUGUGUAAGUAACUGUGAACAUCUUGACGGUACCUAAUCAGAAAGCCACGGCUAACUACGUG
rnacentral:rRNA from 1 species